rnacentral:rRNA from 1 species
UAAACCCCUUCCAGAGUAUCAAUUGGAGGGCAAGUCUGGUGCCAGCAGCCGCGGUAAUUCCAGCUCCAAUAGCGUAUAUUAAACUUGUUGCAGUUAAAAAGCUCGUAGUUGAAUUUCUGCUGUUUCGUUGACUGCGCUUGGCGUUUGUCAUCGUUGCGGCUUGGUUGGGUUUCGAUUAUUCGUUUCCCGGCGUUUACUUUGAGAAAAUUAGAGUGCUUGAAGCAGGCUUUUGCCUUGAAUACUUUAGCAUGGAAUAACGGAGUAGGACUUUGGUUCUAUUUUGUUGGUUUUAGGAGCCAGAGUAAUGGUUAAUAGGAACAGUUGGGGGCAUUCGUAUUUGACUGUCAGAGGUGA